rnacentral:rRNA from 1 species
AACGAACGCUGGCGGCAUGCCUAACACAUGCAAGUCGAACGAACUCUUCGGAGUUAGUGGCGCACGGGUGCGUAACGCGUGGGAAUCUGCCCUUGGGUACGGAAUAACUCAGAGAAAUUUGUGCUAAUACCGUAUAAUGACUUCGGUCCAAAGAUUUAUCGCCCAAGGAUGAGCCCGCGUAAGAUUAGCUAGUUGGUGAGGUGUUGGUGGGGUAAAAGCCUACCAAGGCGACGAUCUUUAGCUGGUCUGAGAGGAUGAUCAGCCACACUGGGACUGAGACACGGCCCAGACUCCUACGGGAGGCAGCAGUGGGGAAUAUUGGACAAUGGGCGAAAGCCUGAUCCAGCAAUGCCGCGUGAGUGAUGAAGGCCUUAGGGUGUAAAGCUCUUUACCCGGGAUGAUAAUGACAGUACCGGGAGAAUAAGCUCCGGCUAACUCCGUGCCAGC